rnacentral:tRNA from 1 species
GCGGAAGUGCCGGAGUGGUCAAACGGGACACGUUAAGGGCGUGUUAGCUUAGUGCUUACGAGGGUUCGAAUCCUUUCUUCCGCA